rnacentral:lncRNA from 1 species
AUAAAGUGUAGAGACUAGAUGCUGAAAGUGUUCAGCAUAGAAAUCUCAGAGAGAGGUCUGCUACCCUCUUGGACAUAGAUGUAUACCAUGUAAUGUACUUAAACUGAUAUAGUUAAUACUGUGAAUGUCACGAGUAGAUAUCAGUUGUAUCCAGGUUGAGAGUGCUAGAUUACUGUGAAAACAUCCUUAAGUAUUUGAGAAGAACUAAAGAUUUAUUCUUAAUUUGGAGAACGAUCAAAGCUAAG